rnacentral:rRNA from 1 species
AUUGAACGCUGGCGGCGUGCCUAAUACAUGCAAGUCGAGCGGAAGUUGGAGAGCUUGCUCUUCAACUUUAGCGGCGGACGGGUGAGUAACACGUGGGCAACCUGCCCUGCAGAUCGGGAUAACUCCGGGAAACCGGUGCUAAUACCGAAUAGUUUUCGCCACCUCCUGGUGGCGUACGGAAAGACGGUUUCGGCUGUCACUGCAGGAUGGGCCCGCGGCGCAUUAGCUAGUUGGUGGGGUAACGGCCCACCAAGGCGACGAUGCGUAGCCGACCGGAGAGGGUGAUGGGCCACACUGGGACUGAGACACGGCCCAGACUCCUACGGGAGGCAGCAGUAGGGAAUCUUCCGCAAUGGACGAAAGUCUGACGGAGCAACGCCGCGUGAGUGACGAAGGUUUUCGGAUCGUAAAACUCUGUUGUGAGGGAAGAACAAGUACCACUUAACUACUGGUACCUUGACGGUACCUCACCAGAAAGCCACGGCUAACUACGUGCCAGCCGCCGCGGUAA